rnacentral:rRNA from 1 species
AUUGAACGCUGGCGGCAGGCCUAACACAUGCAAGUCGAGCGAGCGGCGGACGGGUGAGUAAUGUAUGUGGGCUGCCCGCUAGAGGGGGGUAACUCCUUUAGACGGUAGCUAAUACCGCAUACUCUCGGAUAACCCAUAUUGGAUUAGCUAGUAGGUGAGGAAAUGGCUCACCUAGGCGACGACCCCUGGCUGGUCUGAGAGGAUGAUCAGCCACACUGGGACUGAGACACGGCCCAGACUCCUACGGAGGCAGCAGUGGGGAAUAUUGGACAAGGGGCGAAAGCCUGAUGGAGCCAUGCCGCGUGUAUGAAGAAGGCCUUAGGGUUGUAAAGUACUUUCAUUCGGGAGGCGUUACCGAAAGAAGAAGCACCGGCUAACUCCGUGCCAGCAGCCGCGGUAAUAC